rnacentral:rRNA from 1 species
GCCUAAAGCGUCCGUAGCCGGCUCUGUAAGUUUUCGGUUAAAUCCAUAUGCUCAACAUAUGGGCUGCCGGGAAUACUGCAUAGCUAGGGAGUGGGAGAGGUAGACGGUACUCCGUAGGAAGGGGUAAAAUCCUUUGAUCUAUGGAUGACCACCUGUGGCGAAGGCGGUCUACCAGAACACGUUCGACGGUGAGGGAUGAAAGCUGGGGGAGCAAACCGGAUUAGAUACCCGGGUAGUCCCAGCUGUAAACUAUGCAAACUCAGUGAUGCAUUGGCUUGUGGCCAGUGCAGUGCCGCAGAGAAGUCGUUAAGUUUGCCGCCUGGGAAGUACGUACGCAAGUAUGAAACUUAAAGGAAUUGGCGGGGGAGCACCACAAGGGGUGAAGCCUGCGGUUCAAUUGGAGUCAACGCCAGAAAUCUUACCCGGAGAGACAGCAGGAUGAAGGUCAAGCUGAAGACUUUACCAGACAAGCUGAGAAGUGGUGCAUGGCCGUCGCCAGCUCGUGCCGUGAGGUGUCCUGUUAAGUCAGGUAACAAGCGAGAUCCUUGCCUCUAGUUGCUACCAUUACUCUCAGGAGUAGUGGGGCGAAUUAGCGGGACUGCCGUAGUUAAUACGGAGGAAGGAGAGGGCCACGGCAGGUCAGUAUGCCCCGAA